UAGCCAAAUGCCUCGUCAUCUAA
rnacentral:ncRNA from 4 species